rnacentral:rRNA from 1 species
UACGUAGGGUGCAAGCGUUGUCCGGAAUUAUUGGGUGUAAAGAGCUCGUAGGCGGUUCGUCGCGUCGGCUGUGAAAUCCCGAGGCUCAACCUCGGGUCUGCAGUCGAUACGGGCGGACUGGAGUUCGGCAGGGGAGACUGGAAUUCCUGGUGUAGCGGUGAAAUGCGCAGAUAUCAGGAGGAACACCGGUGGCGAAGGCGGUUCUCUGGGCAUUACCUGACGCUGAGGAGCGAAAGUGUGGGGAGCGAACAGG